AGUACCAUUCAAAGAGCUAUGA
rnacentral:miRNA from 1 species